rnacentral:rRNA from 1 species
AGAAUGAACGCUGGCGGCAUGCCUAACACAUGCAAGUCGAACGAAACCUUCGGGUUUAGUGGCGCACGGGUGCGUAACGCGUGGGAAUCUACCCCUUGGUUCGGAAUAACAGUUGGAAACGACUGCUAAUACCGGAUGAUGACGUAAGUCCAAAGAUUUAUCGCCGAGGGAUGAGCCCGCGUAGGAUUAGGUAGUUGGUGUGGUAAAGGCGCACCAAGCCGACGAUCCUUAGCUGGUCUGAGAGGAUGAUCAGCCACACUGGGACUGAGACACGGCCCAGACUCCUACGGGAGGCAGCAGUGGGGAAUAUUGGACAAUGGGCGAAAGCCUGAUCCAGCAAUGCCGCGUGAGUGAUGAAGGCCUUAGGGUUGUAAGCUCUUUACCCGGGAUGAUAAUGACAGUACCGGGAGAAUAAGCUCCGGCUAACUCCGCGCCAGCAGCCGC